GCCGAAGUAGCUCAGCGGUAGAGCAACGGUAUCGUAAACCGUGGGCCGUGGGUUCAAUUCCCACCUUCGGCU
rnacentral:tRNA from 1 species